UGAAGCUGUCUUCGUGGCUAGCAAGAAGCGGAUUUCUUGUGAUUUGUGCUUGUCCUGAAGCAUAUCUUUUGCUUCCAGGGCAGGCAUCUUUACCUCUGUUAUUCCAGCUGCCAUUUAGUUUUGCCCCAUUGACUGAUGGUUGUAAUGGAUAGUGACUCUGGAGUUAUGCAUAAUUAAACGCCUCUUGCCAGGCGUUAAGUACUGGUCUUGUGAAGCACUACUUCUGCUUCAAAAUCAGGCUUUACCUCUUUUUCUAGCUGCUAUUUAUAGUGUAUGCCAUUCAUUUUUGUUUCUGAUGGAUAACUGAAAAAUCGUCUUGAUGGACUUGUGAGAUUAUCUAAUUUCGUCUCGAUGCUCUUACAGAAGUCCUCGUGCUUUGUUUGUGCUCUGAGACUUGGAUAUGGAGCGUAAUUUAACUUGGACUACAACUAAUUGUUGCAGAUUAGAUUAGUA
rnacentral:lncRNA from 1 species